rnacentral:rRNA from 1 species
UGGGAAACGGGUUAAUAUUCCCGUACUUCUUACAAUUGCGAUGGGGGGACGGAGAAGGCUAGGUGGGCCUGGCGACGGUUGUCCAGGUUCAAGUGGGUAGGCUUGAGAGUUAGGUAAAUCCGGCUCUCUUUAAGGCUGAGACACGACGUCGAGCACCUACGGGUGUGAAGUCAUUGAUGCCAUGCUUCCAGGAAAAGCCUCUAAGCUUCAGAUUGUAAGGAAUCGUACCCCAAACCGACACAGGUGGUCGGGUAG